UACGUAGGGGGCAAGCGUUGUCCGGAUUUAUUGGGCGUAAAAGGCUUGUAGGUGGCCACGCCAAGUCGGAUGUGAAAUCUCCCGGCUCAACUGGGAGGGGUCAUUCGAUACUGGCGGGCUCGAGGCCGGUAGGGGGAAGUGGAAUUCCCGGUGUAGUGGUGAAAUGCGUAGAUAUCGGGGGGAACACCAGUGGCGAAGGCGGCCCUCUGGGGUGUACCUGACGCUGAGGCGCGAAAGCGUGGGGAGCGAACCGG
rnacentral:rRNA from 1 species